rnacentral:rRNA from 1 species
UACGUAGGGUGCAAGCGUUGUCCGGAAUUAUUGGGCGUAAAGAGCUCGUAGGCGGUUUGUUGCGUCGGCUGUGAAAUCCCGAGGCUCAACCUCGGGUCUGCAGUCGAUACGAGCAAACUAGAGUGUUGCAGGGGGAGACUGGAAUUCCUGGUGUAGCGGUGAAAUGCGCAGAUAUCAGGAGGAACACCGGUGGCGAAGGCGGGUCGCUGGGCAACAACUGACGCUGGAGGAGCGAA